GCAUCGAUUGCUCCGUGGCAAAGCGGUGUGGCGUUGACCCAUGCGGCCCGGGUUUGAGCCCCGUUCGAUGCA